rnacentral:rRNA from 1 species
UGGGGAAUAUUGCACAAUGGGCGCAAGCCUGAUGCAGCCAUGCCGCGUGUGUGAAGAAGGCCUUCGGGUUGUAAAGCACUUUCAGCGGGGAGGAAGGCGAUAAGGUUAAUAACCUCAUCGAUUGACGUUACCCGCAGAAGAAGCACCGGCUAACUCCGUGCCAGCAGCCGCGGUAAUACGGAGGGUGCAAGCGUUAAUCGGAAUUACUGGGCGUAAAGCGCACGCAGGCGGUCUGUCAAGUCGGAUGUGAAAUCCCCGGGCUCAACCUGGGAACUGCAUUCGAAACUGGCAGGCUGGAGUCUUGUAGAGGGGGGUAGAAUUCCAGGUGUAGCGGUGAAAUGCGUAGAGAUCUGGAGGAAUACCGGUGGCGAAGGCGGCCCCCUGGACAAAGACUGACGCUCAGGUGCGAAAGCGUGGGGAGCAAACAGG